AUGAAGGGCAUUCACCGCAUCUCCACUGACGCAGUUGUAUCUCUAUCUUUCUCAAUUCUCCACCACUUCUAUCAGCACCGAUUUGUGGAGAGCGACAGCAGGAUGGGCAGGGUGAGGAGGCCAAGCAGCCAGAGUUCGGUGGCAGCAUAUGUUGGUCGUGCCGUCGAGCCAAGCGCGCCGGAAGUCGGUGACGAUGGCGCGGUGGUGCUCAGCGGCGUUGACGACGAGGUAACACAUGAGAAGCUCCUCGAGGUCCCGCUACGACGCUCGGACGUUGUCCUUCGCUGCACUAUCUCUGCCAUGCUCUCCAGGAAGUCCCCCUCUGGGUCCGCCGACUCCAUCACCAUCACGAGGCUCUCCUGCAGCCAGCGCCGCCUCUGUAGCAUGGUGGUCGCCAUUGGAGGCUGCUCCUACGCUGGCCUUCUUCCCUUCAACCAGCCGCUCAGCUUGACAUGUACCGGCCGUCGCCGUCAUGUCCUGUCCGUCGGUGAUGCCCUGCAGCUGCUCUUGGCCUCCUCCUCCCAGUCAACCUUCUUUGCCGCACCAGUCGGGCCUGGUGAGGAUCGGUCGCAGCUUCAGCCCGUGGAGCCGGCCAGCAGCGGCCCUAGGCUUCGAUGGCGGGGUGGAUUCCGAGCGCGGGCCACGGUGGUGGCUGGCUUCGUGGUCAUGCAAGCUACGACCUCCACCUUGAGCGGCGACAGGAGAUGCACGCACUUGCGGCCUACCAAGGUGCGUAGCUCACGGGACCGCAUGAACAAUUUGCCGUGGACGGUGUCCUCCUUCGUCCUCGCCUCCUCGGUCGGUUCAUCCACCGAGCUCAUCACUUAUACAUGCGAGGUUGCGUCCAGUCUCCAGUGCCGCCGCCUUGAGGAGCAGCAGGCCCUCUCACUUUCAGUCUCAGGCGCGAACAUCCACGGCGGAGGAAACCAGCUUGCUUGCUGGCGUGCACUGGACGUGAUAAUGGACGACGCGCAGCCUCGCAGGACGGCGGUGUUUGUGUGA
rnacentral:rRNA from 1 species